AGCUUUGCGCAGUGGCAGUAUCGUAGCCAAUGAGGUUUAUCCGAGGCGCGAUUAUUGCUAAUUGAAAACUAAUUAUAUUUUAUAUCAUUCGGUAAAAUUUUAUAAUUAACUCCUAUAAGGUUUUACAUAUCUUUUGUCAAAUAUACCGGGGAUGCCAAAAAAAAAUGUAU
rnacentral:snRNA from 1 species